CCGCCACCCAUUAUUUGACCAUAGAGACUGGUAAGGUUGUUUUGGCCUCCCGUGAGCUAUAGCACACGUUUUCAUGGCCGAGCGACCAUUUUUAUGUCCGUGUUCCUCCACACGUGUUUUUCUCCCCGGAGCACCUUAAAGCGGUUCUUGGCCUCCCGCGAGCUAUAUCACACAUUUCCGUGGCCAAACAGCCAAUUUUAUGUAUCCGACCUGCCACCUUCGUUUUAGACCGGGGAGGCCGUUAUGGCAUUUUUUGCCACCCGUGAGCUAUAGCACACGAUUUUAUGGAAACCUAGACCCUAAAUCCUAUCCCUAAACCUAAACAUCGACACUAAAGGAUUUUAGUGUUGAAACCAUGGUAAAAUGAAAUUUGAGUCUCCCAACCUUAUCAACUUUGCUGACAUAGUAGAAUUUUAGUGUCCAAACCAUAGUACACGUUUUGGUCCCCGGAGGCCGGUAAGGCUAUUUUUGGCCUCCCGUGACACAUGUUUUCAUCGUCAAACGACGAUUUCAUGCCUCCCGUCCGCCACCCAUGAUUUGACCAUGAGACUGGUAAGGCUGUUUUGGCCUCCCGUAGGCUAUAGCACACGUUUUCAUGGCCGAGCGACCAUUUUUAUGUCGUGUUCCUCCACACGUGUUUUUCUCCCCGGAGCACCUUAAAGCGGUUCUUGGCCUCCCACGAGCUAUAUCACACAUUUCCGUGGCCAAACAGCCAAUUUCAUGUAUCCGACCUGCCACCUUCGUUUUAGACCGGGAGGCCGUUACGCAUUUUUUGCCACACGUGAGCUAUAGCACACGAUUUUAUGGUAACCUAGACCCAAAUCCAUCCCUAAACCUAACCUUAAACACGACACUAAAGGUUUUAGUGUGAAACCAUAGUAAAAUGAAAUUUGAGUCUCCCAACCUAUAACUUGCUGACAUGUAGAAUUUUAGUGUCCAAACCAUAGUACACGUUUUGGUCCCCGGAGGCCGUAAGGCUAUUUUUGGCCUCCGUGACACAUGUUUUCAUCGUCAACGACGAUUUCAUGCCUCCCGUCCGCCACCCAUGAUUUGCCAUGAGACUGUAAGGCUGUUUUGGCCUCCCGUGACACAUGUUUUUGUCGUCCACAUUUUUUUUUUUUUUUUUUUUUUUUUUUUUUUUUUUAUUUCGUGCCUCCCGACCGCCACCCAUUAUUUGACCAUAGAGACUGGUAAGGUGUUUUGGCCUCCCGUGAGCUAUAGCACACGUUUUCAUGGCCGAGCGACCAUUUUUAUGUCCGUGUUCCUCCACACGUGUUUUUCUCCCGGAGCACCUUAAAGCGGUUCUUGGCCUCCCGCGAGCUAUAUCACACAUUUCCGUGGCCAAACAGCCAAUUUUAUGUAUCCGACCUGCCACCUUCGUUUUAGACCGGGGAGGCCGUUAUGGCAUUUUUUUGCCACCCGUGAGCUAUAGCACACGAUUUUAUGGAAACCUAGACCCUAAAUCCUAUCCCUAAACCUAAACAUCGACACUAAAGGAUUUUAGUGUUGAAACCAUGGUAAAAUGAAAUUUGAGUCUCCCAACCUUAUCAACUUUGCUGACAUAGUAGAAUUUUAGUGUCCAAACCAUAGUACACGUUUUGGUCCCCGGAGGCCGGUAAGGCUAUUUUUGGCCUCCCGUGACACAUGUUUUCAUCGUCAAACGACGAUUUCAUGCCUCCCGUCCGCCACCCAUGAUUUGUCCCAGAGCACCUUAAAGUGGUCCUUGGCCUCCCACGAGCUGUAGCACACCUACGUUUUAGACCGGAGAGGCCGUUACGACAUUUUUUGCCACAAGUGAGCUAUAGCACAUGUUUUUAUGGUAACCUAGACCCCAAAUCCAAUCCCUAAACCCUAACCUUAAACACCGACACUAAAAGGUUUUAGUGUCCAAACAUAGUAAAAUGAAGUUUGAGUCUCCAAACCAUAGUAAGCUUGCAGGCAUGGUAGAAUUUUAGUGUCCAAACCAUAGUACACAUUUUAGUCCCCGGAGGCCCGUAAGUCUAUUUUGGCCUCCCGUGACACAUGUUUUUGUCAUCGAACAGCGAUUUCGUGCCUCCCGUCCGCCACCCAUCAUUUGACCAUAGAGACUAGUAAGGCUGUUUUGGCCUCCCGCGAGCUAUAUCACACAUUUCCGUGGCCAAACAGCCAAUUUUAUGUAUCCGACCUGCCACCUUCGUUUUAGACCGGGGAGGCCGUUAUGGCAUUUUUUUGCCACCCGUGAGCUAUAGCACACGAUUUUAUGGAAACCUAGACCCUAAAUCCUAUCCCUAAACCUAAACAUCGACACUAAAGGAUUUUAGUGUUGAAACCAUGGUAAAAUGAAAUUUGAGUCUCCCAACCUUAUCAACUUUGCUGACAUAGUAGAAUUUUAGUGUCCAAACCAUAGUACACGUUUUGGUCCCCGGAGGCCGGUAAGGCUAUUUUUGGCCUCCCGUGACACAUGUUUUCAUCGUCAAACGACGAUUUCAUGCCUCCCGUCCGCCACCCAUGAUUUGGCCACUGAGACUGCUAAGGCUGUUUAUGGCCUCCCGUAGGCUAUGGCACACGUUUUCAUGGUCGAGCGACCAUUUUAAGUACGUGUUCCACCACCCGUUUUUGGUCCCAGAGCACCUUAAAGUGGUCCUUGGCCUCCCACGAGCUGUAGCACACGUUUCGUGGCCAAAGAGCCAAUUUCAUGUAUCCGACCUGCCACCUACGUUUAGACGGAGGCCGUUACGACAUUUUUUGCCACAAGUGAGCUAUAGCACAUGUUUUUAUGGUAACCUAGACCCAAAUCCAAUCCCUAAACCCUAACCUUAAACACCGACACUAAAAGGUUUUAGUGUCCAAACAUAGUAAAAUGAAGUUUGAGUCUCCAAACCAUAGUAAGCUUGCAGGCAUGGUAGAAUUUUAGUGUCCAACCAUAGUACACGUUUUAGUCCCCGGGCCGUAAGGCUAUUUUGGCCUCCCGUGACACAUGUUUUUGUCGUCGAACAGCGAUUUCGUGCCUCCCGACCGCCACCCAUAUUUGACCAUAGAGACUGUAAGGUGUUUUGGCCUCCCGUGAGCUAUAGCACACGUUUUCAUGGCCGAGCGACCAUUUUUAUGUCCGCGUUCCUCCACACGUGUUUUUUCCCCGGAGCACCUUAAAGCGGUUCUUGGCCUCCCGCGAGCUAUAUCACACAUUUCCGUGGCCAAACAGCCAAUUUUAUGUAUCCGACCUGCCACCUUCGUUUUAGACCGGGGAGGCCGUUAUGGCAUUUUUUUGCCACCCGUGAGCUAUAGCACACGAUUUUAUGGAAACCUAGACCCUAAAUCCUAUCCCUAAACCUAAACAUCGACACUAAAGGAUUUUAGUGUUGAAACCAUGGUAAAAUGAAAUUUGAGUCUCCCAACCUAUCAACUUUGCUGACAUAGUAGAAUUUUAGUGUCCAAACCAUAGUACACGUUUUGGUCCCGGAGGCCGGUAAGGCUAUUUUUGGCCUCCCGUGACACAUGUUUUCAUCGUCAAACGACGAUUUCAUGCCUCCCGUCCGCCACCCAUGAUUUGGCCACUGAGACUGCUAAGGCUGUUUAUGGCCUCCCGUAAGCCUAUAGGCACACCGUUUUUCCAAUGGUCCGGACGCUGAGCCAUUUUUAAGACUACGUAACGUUACGACAUUUUUUGCCACAGUGAGCUAUAGCACAGUUUUAUGGUACCUACCCAAAUCCAAUCCUAAACCUAACCUUAAACACCGACACUAAAGGUUAGUGUCCCAUAGUAAAUGGUUGGUCUCCAAACCAUAGUAGCUGCAGAUGGUAGAAUUUAGUGUCCAACCAUAGUACAGUUUUAGUCCCGGGCCGUAGGCCUCCCGUGACACAUGUUUUUGUCGUCGAACAGCGAUUUCGUGCCUCCCGUCCGCCACCCAUGAUUUGACCAUAGAGACUGGUAAGGCUGUUUUGGCCUCCCGUGAGCUAUAGCACACGUUUUCAUGGCCGAGCGACCAUUUUUAUGUCCGCGUUCCCCACACGUGUUUUUGUCCCCGGAGCACCUUAAAGCGGUUCUUGGCCUCCCGCGAGCUAUAUCACACAUUUCCGUGGCCAAACAGCCAAUUUUAUGUAUCCGACCUGCCACCUUCGUUUUAGACCGGGGAGGCCGUUAUGGCAUUUUUUUGCCACCCGUGAGCUAUAGCACACGAUUUUAUGGAAACCUAGACCCUAAAUCCUAUCCCUAAACCUAAACUAACAUCGACACUAAAGAUUUUAGUGUUGAAACCAUGGUAAAAUGAAAUUUGAGUCUCCCAACCUUAUCAACUUUGCUGACAUAGUAGAAUUUUAGUGUCCAAACCAUAGUACACGUUUUGGUCCCCGGAGGCCGGUAAGGCUAUUUUUGGCCUCCCGUGACACAUGUUUUCAUCGUCAAACGACGAUUUCAUGCCUCCCGUCCGCCACCCAUGAUUUGGCCACUGAGACUGCUAAGGUCUGUUUAUGGCCUCAUCCGUAAGCUAUAGCCACCUACGAUUUUCAUGAUCGGAGAGGCCGUUACGACAUUUUUUGCCACAAGUGAGCUAUAGCACAUGUUUUAUGGUAACCUAGACCCAAAUCCAAUCCCUAAACCCUAACCUUAACACCGACACUAAAAGGUUUUAGUGUCCAAACAUAGUAAAAUGAAGUUUGAGUCUCCAAACCAUAGUAAGCUUGCAGGCAUGGUAGAAUUUAGUGUCCAACCAUAGUAACGUUUUAGUCCCCGGGGCCGUAAGGCUAUUUUGGCCUCCCGUGACACAUGUUUUUGUCGUCGAACAGCGAUUUCGUGCCUCCCGUCCGCCACCCAUAUUUGACCAUAGAGACUGGUAAGGCUGUUUUGGCCUCCCGUGAGCUAUAGCACACGUUUUCAUGGCCGAGCGACCAUUUUUAUGUCCGCGUUCCUCCACACGUGUUUUUUCCCCGGAGCACCUUAAAGCGGUUCUUGGCCUCCCGCGAGCUAUAUCACACAUUUCCGUGGCCAAACAGCCAAUUUUAUGUAUCCGACCUGCCACCUUCGUUUUAGACCGGGGAGGCCGUUAUGGCAUUUUUUUGCCACCCGUGAGCUAUAGCACACGAUUUUAUGGAAACCUAGACCCUAAAUCCUAUCCCUAAACCUAACUAACAUCGACACUAAAUGAUUUUAGUGUUGAAACCAUGGUAAAAUGAAAUUUGAGUCUCCCAACCAUAUCAACUUUGCUGACAUAGUAGAAUUUUAGUGUCCAAACCAUAGUACACGUUUUGGUCCCUGGAGGCCGGUAAGGCUAUUUUUGGCCUCCCGUGACACAUGUUUUCAUCGUCAAACGACGAUUUCAUGCCUCCCGUCCGCCACCCAUGAUUUGGCCACUGAGACUGCUAAGGCUGUUUAUGGCCUCCCGUAGGCUAUGGCACACGUUUUCAUGGUCGAGCGACCAUUUUUAAGUACGUGUUCCACCACCCGCUUUUUGGUCCCAGAGCACCUUAAAGUGGUCCUUGGCCUCCCACGAGCUGUAGCACACGUUUCCGUGGCCAAAGAGCCAAUUUCAUGUAUCCGACCUGCCACCUACGUUUUAGACCGGAGAGGCCGUUACGACAUUUUUUGCCACAAGUGAGCUAUAGCACAUGUUUUUAUGGUAACCUAGACCCCAAAUCCAAUCCCUAAACCCUAACCUUAAACACCGACACUAAAAGGUUUUAGUGUCCAAACAAUAGUAAAAUGAAGUUUGAGUCUCCAAACCAUAGUAAGCUUGCAGGCAUGGUAGAAUUUUAGUGUCCAAACCAUAGUACACAUUUUAGUCCCCGGAGGCCCGUAAGUCUAUUUUGGCCUCCCGUGACACAUGUUUUUGUCACCGAACAGCGAUUUCGUGCCUCCCGUUCGCCACCCAUCAUUUGACCAUAGAGACUAGUAAGGCUGUUUUGGCCUCCCGUGAGCUAUAGCACACGUUUUCAUGGCCGAGCGACCAUUUUUAUGUCCGCGUUCCGCCACACGUGUUUUUGUCCUCGGAGCACCUUAAAGCGGUUCUUGGCCUCCCACGAGCUAUAUCACACAUUUCCGUGGCCAAACAGCAAAUUUUAUGUAUCCGACCUGCCACCUUCGUUUUAGACCGGGGAGGCCGUUAUGGCAUUUUUUGCCACCCGUGAGCUAUAGCACACGAUUUUAUGGAAACCUAGACCCUAAAUCCUAUCCCUAAACCCUAAACGUUAACAUCGACACUAAAUGAUUUUAGUGUUGAAACCAUGGUAAAAUGAAAUUUGAGUCUCCCAACCAUAUCAACUUUGCUGACAUAGUAGAAUUUUAGUGUCCAAACCAUAGUACACGUUUUGGUCCC
rnacentral:lncRNA from 1 species